AAAAGGGUUUUAAUUAUGUAUUUAUAAAUGUAGAGAGGUACGUAUAAAAAUACCAGUUGAAGUAGUUCCAAGUUUUGGUGGUUUGAUUAGGAUCCGACUCGUCGAACUGAUCAGCACCAAAAGCAACAACACAUGGUCGGAUCCCACCCGACCCGAGAGCUCCAAGAAGAAGAGCUACGUAAAGUAUACUCAAUUGUGCUGUGUCAGCUACUACACAAACCUCUUCUCCUUUACAUGGUGGUGGCCUUAGCGUUGGUAUUAUUGCCGAUAUCAUGAUGGAAGCAAAAGUGAUGGUCCAAAAUCGGCCGGCGAAAGAGUCGGCGAUAAAGGCACCAAGGAGAGGAGUAAGACUCGAUGUCCCGGCGAAGUUUGUGAGAGUGUUGGCUGCUUUGGUUAAGGGAAGGUGAAGCUGUGUUGUUAAGUAACUUAUCAUGUUUGCGUGAAACCCCACCACCGCUAAUUUUUCACAUAUCUCGUUCGCUGAAUAUAUCAUUAGAGAUUAUAUAUCAA